rnacentral:lncRNA from 1 species
UUGAAGGUUUGGUCUACAAAGCUUUUUUUUCUAAUCCUUAAACACCAGAUGGUGUCAUCCUGUUUGGCAUUUGCUUGUGUGCAGUUAGCAAUUAAACAUUUAAUUGUAUGUGUACCUAGCAAUGCAUCGGUUUGCAUGCCAUUAAUGACUUCAUAGUGACAUCUUUGCAUGCAAAGUGAUUUCUUGCACCGAAAUGGGCCGUGCUAUAGUGCUAAAAAUCUAACGUUUGCCCAUUAUAAUGUCAGUUUCACCUUCUUUUUUUCCAAGUUCUGCACACCAAGGGACUCUGGCCAGCCGGCCAAUGUUCAUCCGUGCUCACUACAGGAGUUCAGGUAUAUAUAAAAUCAAGACAAAAGAACCCAAGGGCACAGAUAUUUAACGAGGAUAAUUUAUAGAUAAAGCACGCACAUUACAUAGACACGAACGUAGUACGACGCACACAAUAUCAGUUCACCACUCUGCUCUGCUCGUGGAACCUACCGGCACCCAGGCCACAACACCAUGAACUGCAUGCGGAUAAUUAACUCGAUCGACCCUAAACCACACACAACGACUAGGUAGAACGACACGGAUCUGGCCGCCAAGGCCUAGCUAAGCUUCAGUACUAGUAGCAGCAAUUUAUUCUCCAGACAUGGGACUCCUCACACGGCAGACGUACGUCGACAGACACACGGGCCAGGGCGCUUCAGUUCGUUCAGUGGAUCCUGCACGCAGACGAAGAAGAGAGCUCAUGCAUGUCAAAACUGCAAGAUUUAUCCAAGGAGAGAUGGAAACAUGUAGAGUACGUAGUAUAUAUGUAUGCAUGGGCUUUGUGGAGACGUACGAGUUGCAGUCGACGCUGGGGCUGAUCUUGUAGGGGAGGGCGACGUUGCACUUGGAGGGGAGCGCGGCGGCGCGGGUGAUGUAGGGCCCGCCGGAGGCGCCGUUGGCGACGUUCUUCAGGCAGCCGCAGAUGGUGCGGCGGUCGGGGCUGUUGUUGGCCUCGGCCAGCAGGUUCUGGAUGCCGGUGCAGCAGCCCCGGGCCGGCGACCCGCCCUGCUGCACGUACUGCAGGCACGGCAUCAGCGUGCUGUACACCGUGGAGCAGGAUAUGGCGUGCACCGUCGCCGGCGGCGCCACCAGCAUCGCCGCGAGCACCAUCGCCAGCACCAGUGCCGCGCCCCUCGGAGCCGCCAUGCCGACUGGACUGAAGUGAGCUACGCCGCUAGAUUAGCUUGUGAGUGGAUGAGUGUAGUGUGAGUGCCGCUGGCUUGAGUGUGUGUGUGGGUGGAGAGAGUGAGGGCUCUAGCAGGGUUUAUAUACAGGGGAGGGGAGAGACCGAAGCUAGUAGGAUUGCUUUACUUCUGCUGGGGUGGUUGUGGGUUGAGGGUGCAUUUAGGAGGGGAGUUAAGAGCGCGGCUGGUAGAUGGUCGUGUGGUUACCGGUUAGUCUCUGCCUCUUUGGACUCGAGUGUAGGAGGGGUGUCCCGGUGAGAUUCUUGGUUUCUACUUACAUGACAUUUUUACUUUUGAAACUGUUUACUUUUAUAUACUCGUUCUGAAGCUGGAUUGGUGCUGGACUUUGUGAUUUGCAGUAUCGUUUGAGCUUGUGUAUUAAUAUUUCUGGGUAAGGUUUAAGCAGCUGCUUAUAUAACGAGCAAAAUGAACCCAUCAUGUCUGUAGGCAUGGACAGUGUAUACUCCGUAGCCAUGCACUGGACUCGUGUUCUGAAGCGAUGCUGAGUUUUUCUUUAGAACGAAGCGAUGCUGAGUUGGUUAGCCAUUUCAGCCCUGGUUAGGUUAGUGGCAAAGGAUCGCGUACAGCAGGCGUCGGUCCAGCCAGCUGGUAUGGGGUCGCCGCUGUGCGCAUGCAGGCGUCUCCGGCAGCUAGGAACAUUAUCAACCUGCACGUACGUACACCCCGUACAAUUUAACCCUGUUCACACCGUCGGUGAGUGGACAUGACAUAAGAAAAGAGGCCGAGAGUUGCAACGGAAGAAAAGUCCUAACCUAAUAUAAGACCUCAAUAGGUCUAUGUAUUUUAUUUUAGCACAUGGCAUUUCAUAUCGGAAAUCCCUUUUGGAGCUCGGCCUCCAGUGAGGCCUCCAAAUUUGAAUUUGAAUUUUCAUUGAAAUUCAUAUUUUUACAUUUUAAAAAAUUCUAAAAAAAUAUAGAUAUACAACGAGGCAUAACACACA